CUUCGUAUUAUUAAUUAAUUAAUUAAUUAAUUUAAUUAAAUGGGGCUAUUUCAGAGGGGAACUUUACAUACACUAUGAUUUAAUAGGGUAAAGAGACUCUCAACAUUGACUAGUCUAUCCCUGUUUACAUGAGACUAUUGAGGUUUGGUCUGUUGCUGUGUAUUGCAAUGCUUAAAUACUGGCCCCCAAGGUCUGGCUGCCCACAGGAAUAAAAGGAGAUCCUCACAUACACCAAAUGAUUCUAUGUAAUCUUGUUCCUUAAUGUAAAACUAUUGGUUGAAUAAAGAUGCCUGUAGCCUGUAGCUCUGGACAGAAGACAGGUAGGCAGGCCUUCAGUCUUCAGGCUUGGGGUCUUGGGGCAGGGACCACAAGAGAGGAGAAAAGAGGAAGAAGACACCAUGGGAAAGGUGGAUCAUGAGAAGUUGUCCAUGAGGGCCAGCCAAUUGGUGAAGGGACAGCCCAGGCAGAACAUGGCAGGUCAUAUCUCAUGGUUAGUGACCGGGAAGUAGACAAAAAGAGAAUAGAGGGUUGAUAACUGCACAGCUCUAGUGCUGUUAAGGGGGUAAUUGUAAAUAUAAAGGUUUUAUGUCUUUUAUUUGGGAACUGAAUGAUCAAAGGUGAGGUAGAAACCUCCAAUUAAUUUUUACAUUUUGGUACCCUUUGGGGGUGCCGUUAGUAAAUAUUUUCCUGGUUCUUCCUCCCAGCUCUAUGCUCCCAGAGAUAAGAUUCAGACUCAGAAUAUAUUUACAAAUACCUUGAUUAUAUAGCUAGGCUCUUCUCUGACUAGAUCAUAACUUAAAAUAACCCAAUUUAUUUUAACAUGUAUUCUGCCAUGUGGCUGGUUACGUGUGCUCAGGUACCAAACAGGUGUCUUGUCACAUCUUCCCUGGUGACUCUCCCAAGCCUGGCACUAUCCCAGAAUCCUUUCUCCUCCUGGGUGUCCCAUCUCCUGUUUCUUCCCUAACCUAUAGGCCAUCAGACUUUUAUUCACAGGUGCCAUAUCCAGACAGACACAAGAUGCUCUCUCUAGCUUUGUUAUUGGUAGUAGUGCUGGGAGUUGAGCCCCAGUGCCUCUUGCAUGCUGAGGCCAUUCUCACUGAGUUGUACCUUCAGCCCUGAGCUAAUAUGAUAAAGCUUAUGUGGCUUAGUGGGAAAGCACACGCCGCACAGGCGUGCCUGCCUGAGCAUGGUCCUGGAAACUCAUAGCCGCUAACUGAAGCUCCAGAUGAAUCUGAUACCCUCUUCUUCCUCCACGCUUGUUUAUAUACACACAGGCGCACACACAUACAU
rnacentral:lncRNA from 1 species